rfam:Triticum aestivum genome assembly, contig: Triticum_aestivum_CS42_TGACv1_scaffold_131426_2BL
UAACUACUCCCUCUGUCCCAAAAUUCUUGUCUUAAAUUUGUCUAGAUACGGAUGUAUCUAGUCAUGUUUUAGUGCUAGAUACUCCUAUCCAUAUCUAGACAAAACUAAGACUAGAAUUAUGGGACGGAGGGAGUAUUUG